UACGUAGGGUGCGAGCGUUGUCCGGAAUUAUUGGGCGUAAAGAGCUCGUAGGCGGCUUGUCGCGUCGGAUGUGAAAGCCCGGGGCUUAACUCCGGGUCUGCAUUCGAUACGGGCAGGCUAGAGUUCGGUAGGGGAGAUCGGAAUUCCUGGUGUAGCGGUGAAAUGCGCAGAUAUCAGGAGGAACACCGGUGGCGAAGGCGGACCUCUGGGCCGAUACUGACGCUGAGGAGCGAAAGCGUGGGGAGCGAACAGA
rnacentral:rRNA from 1 species